AUGAGAGAAUGUUAACUCAUUGCAACAACGAACCUGCCAAAAAUAAACAAUUAGCACCUGUGUUUUAAACCUUGGUAUACCUGUGUUUUAAAGCUGUGUCGAUUAUGUUGACACAGCUUUAAAAUACAGAUAUGCCAAGUUUUGUAAACAUAUUUCAAGCCAUGUUAAAGUGUAAAAAUUGCAUACAACAAGUCAAUGAGAGACAAACAACUGAAAACCAUAGAGAAGAUAAUGCAUGCACUACUCCAGUUCCAUAUCACAUGACAAGGUCUGAUACUCUUAAGAGACAUCAGGCUGGGACAUUUUGGCACGGCCCUUUCAGGGUGCACCUGUGAAGAGGAUGUGAAGAUUUUAUG
rnacentral:lncRNA from 1 species